GGUCUAUGCUGCCAUCGGGUUGGUGAUGUGUCUCAAGCAGCCUGUACGUCGGUCCAGCGCGGCGGCGGGCAGCAUCCGCGGAGGCGUAGCGGCGGAUUGAGUUAAAUGCCUCUUAUCUCCUCCUAAUGGCCUCCGAACAUGUCAAUUCAUCACUCGCGUGUCUUGCACGCUCUCAUUCUUGCUCUAAUCCUGGUUCUGACGAAGUGCGUCAGAUACUAAAAAUUAUUUUAAGAAAAUAAUUGAUCAUCAUUGAGUAUCAUUUAUAGUAGUGCCGUGGUUGAGAAACUUUCAAAUUUUAUUUUAUUUCUAUGUAAUGACUUGUUGCUAUGAAGAAAAAAUAAAGAUGUGUAACAAGUAUA
rnacentral:misc_RNA from 1 species